rnacentral:rRNA from 1 species
UAUGGAGAGUUUGAUCCUGGCUCAGGAUGAACGCUGGCGGCGUGCCUAAUACAUGCAAGUCGAGCGAACGGACGAGAAGCUUGCUUCUCUGAUGUUAGCGGCGGACGGGUGAGUAACACGUGGAUAACCUACCUAUAAGACUGGGAUAACUUCGGGAAACCGGAGCUAAUACCGGAUAAUAUUUUGAAMCGCAUGGUUCAAAAGUGAAAGACGGUYUUGCUGUCACUUAUAGAUGGAUCCGCGCUGCAUUAGCUAGUUGGUARGGUAACGGCUUACCAAGGCAACGAUGCAUAGCCGACCUGAGAGGGUGAUCGGCCACACUGGAACUGAGACACGGUCCAGACUCCUACGGGAGGCAGCAGUAGGGAAUCUUCCGCAAUGGGCGAAAGCCUGACGGAGCAACGCCGCGUGAGUGAUGAAGGUCUUCGGAUCGUAAAACUCUGUUAUUAGGGAAGAACAUAUGUGUAAGUAACUGUGCACAUCUUGACGGUACCUAAUCAGAAAGCCACGGCUAACUACGUGCCAGCAGCCGCGGUAAUACGUAGGUGGCAAGCGUUAUCCGGAAUUAUUGGGCGUAAAGCGCGCGUAGGCGGUUUUUUAAGUCUGAUGUGAAAGCCCACGGCUCAACCGUGGAGGGUCAUUGGAAACUGGAAAACUUGAGUGCAGAAGAGGAAAGUGGAAUUCCAUGUGUAGCGGUGAAAUGCGCAGAGAUAUGGAGGAACACCAGUGGCGAAGGCGACUUUCUGGUCUGUAACUGACGCUGAUGUGCGAAAGCGUGGGGAUCAAACAGGAUUAGAUACCCUGGUAGUCCACGCCGUAAACGAUGAGUGCUAAGUGUUAGGGGGUUUCCGCCCCUUAGUGCUGCAGCUAACGCAUUAAGCACUCCGCCUGGGGAGUACGACCGCAAGGUUGAAACUCAAAGGAAUUGACGGGGACCCGCACAAGCGGUGGAGCAUGUGGUUUAAUUCGAAGCAACGCGAAGAACCUUACCAAAUCUUGACAUCCUUUGACAACUCUAGAGAUAGAGCYUUCCCCUUCGGGGGACAAAGUGACAGGUGGUGCAUGGUUGUCGUCAGCUCGUGUCGUGAGAUGUUGGGUUAAGUCCCGCAACGAGCGCAACCCUUAAGCUUAGUUGCCAUCAUUAAGUUGGGCACUCUAAGUUGACUGCCGGUGACAAACCGGAGGAAGGUGGGGAUGACGUCAAAUCAUCAUGCCCCUUAUGAUUUGGGCUACACACGUGCUACAAUGGACAAUACAAAGGGCAGCGAAACCGCGAGGUCAAGCAAAUCCCAUAAAGUUGUUCUCAGUUCGGAUUGUAGUCUGCAACUCGACUACAUGAAGCUGGAAUCGCUAGUAAUCGUAGAUCAGCAUGCUACGGUGAAUACGUUCCCGGGUCUUGUACACACCGCCCGUCACACCACGAGAGUUUGUAACACCCGAAGCCGGUGGAGUAACCUUUUAGGAGCUAGCCGUCGAAGGUGGGACAAAUGAUUGGGGUGAAGUCGUAACAAGGUAGCCGUAUCGGAAGGUGCGGCUGGAUCACCUCCUU